GACGUAGGGGGCCAGCGUUGUUCGGAAUUACUGGGUGUAAAGGGUUCGUAGGCGGUGUGGCAAGUCGGGAGUGAAAUUUCUGGGCUCAACUCAGAGACUGCUUCCGAAACUGCUGUGCUUGAGUGUGGGAGAGGCGCGUGGAAUUGCAGGUGUAGCGGUGAAAUGCGUAGAUAUCUGCAGGAACACCCGUGGCGAAAGCGGCGCGCUGGACCACUACUGACGCUGAGGAACGAAAGCUAGGGGAGCAAACGGG
rnacentral:rRNA from 1 species